rnacentral:rRNA from 1 species
CCUACGGGAGGCUGCAGUGAGGAAUAUUGGUCAAUGGGCGCGAGCCUGAACCAGCCAAGUAGCGUGAAGGAUGACUGCCCUAUGGGUUGUAAACUUCUUUUAUAAAGGAAUAAAGUGAAGCAUGUAUGCCUCUUUGCAUGUACCUUAUGAAUAAGGAUCGGCUAACUCCGUGCCAGCAGCCGCGGUAAUACGGAGGAUCCGAGCGUUAUCCGGAUUUAUUGGGUUUAAAGGGAGCGUAGGUGGGUUGUUAAGUCAGUUGUGAAAGUUUGAGGCUCAACCGUAAAAUUGCAAUUGAUACUGGCAGUCUUGAGUACAGUUGAGGUAGGCGGAAUUCGUGGUGUAGCGGUGAAAUGCUUAGAUAUCACGAAGAACUCCGAUUGCGAAGGCAGCUUGCUAAACUGCCACUGACAUUGAUGCUCGAAAGUGUGGGUAUCAAACAGGAUUAGAUACCCGUGUAGUC